rnacentral:rRNA from 1 species
UACGUAGGUGACAAGCGUUGUCCGGAUUUACUGGGCGUAAAGAGCGCGCAGGCGGUCGAUCAAGUCGAGUGUGAAAGCCCCCGGCUCAACUGGGGAGGGUCAUUCGAAACUGGUCGACUCGAAGGCAGGAGAGGGUAGUGGAAUUCCCGGUGUAGUGGUGAAAUGCGUAGAUAUCGGGAGGAACACCAGUGGCGAAGGCGACUACCUGGCCUGUUCUUGACGCUGAGGCGCGAAAGCUAGGGGAGCGAACAGG